rnacentral:rRNA from 1 species
UACGGGGGGAGCAAGCGUUGUUCGGAUUUACUGGGCGUAAAGGGCGCGUAGGCGGUCGUGACAAGUCACUUGUGAAAUCUCCGGGCUUAACUCGGAACGGUCAAGUGAUACUGUCGGACUAGAGUACAGAAGGGGCAACUGGAAUUCUCGGUGUAGCGGUGAAAUGCGUAGAUAUCGAGAGGAACACCUGCGGCGAAGGCGGGUUGCUGGGCUGAUACUGACGCUGAGGCGCGAAAGACUAGGGGAGCAAACGGG